rnacentral:rRNA from 1 species
AAAGACCCCGUGAACCUUUACUAUAGCUUGACACUGAACAUUGAGCCUUGAUGUGUAGGAUAGGUGGGAGGCUUUGAAGUGUGGACGCCAGUCUGCAUGGAGCCGACCUUGAAAUACCACCCUUUAAUGUUUGAUGUUCUAACGUGGACCCGUUACCCGGGUUGCGGACAGUGUCUGGUGGGUAGUUUGACUGGGGCGGUCUCCUCCUAAAGAGUAACGGAGGAGCACGAAGGUUGGCUAAUCCUGGUCGGACAUCAGGAGGUUAGUGCAAUGGCAUAAGCCAGCUUGACUGCGAGCGUGACGGCGCGAGCAGGUGCGAAAGCAGGUCAUAGUGAUCCGGUGGUUCUGAAUGGAAGGGCCAUCGCUCAACGGAUAAAAGGUACUCCGGGGAUAACAGGCUGAUACCGCCCAAGAGUUCAUAUCGACGGCGGUGUUUGGCACCUCGAUGUCGGCUCAUCACAUCCUGGGGCUGAAGUAGGUCCCAAGGGUAUGGCUGUUCGCCAUUUAAAGUGGUACGCGAGCUGGGUUUAGAACGUCGUGAGACAGUUCGGUCCCUAUCUGCCGUGGGCGCUGGAGAACUGAGGGGGGCUGCUCCUAGUACGAGAGGACCGGAGUGGACGCAUCACUGGUGUUCGGGUUGUCAUGCCAAUGGCACUGCCCGGUAGCUAAAUGCGGAAGAGAUAAGUGCUGAAAGCAUCUAAGCACGAAACUUGCCCCGAGAUGAGUUCUCCCUGAGACUUAGAGUCUCCUGAAGGAACGUUGAAGACGACGACGUUGAUAGGCCGGGUGUGUAAGCGCAGCGAUGCGUUGAGCUAACCGGUACUAAUGAACCGUGAGGCUUAACCUUACA